CCGAGCCAGCCACCACGUCCCUGCAUACUUGAUCAUCACCUGUGCCACGAGAAGCCACCACAGCUUUGGGGCACAACCUGAAGACCCUCACAGUCAACGUCACCAUCUCCACCCUCCGGUAUUCAUCAGACAGGAGCAACAGCUCAGCCACCUUCAACUCCACUGAGAGGGUCCUGCAGAGCCUGGCCUGAGAAGGAUGGGGCAGCCACCAGUGUGACGCCGUCUGCACCCACCACCCUGAUCCCGUGGGCCACCAUGCCUCUGUGCUGUGAGCUGAGAGUCUCCACCUGUCUGCUCUUCCUCUCGGUGGCUCCUGGCUCUGCAAC